GCACAUUGUCCAAGUGGGGUUGGGAGAUGAUGAUCAGGGUAUUGAGGAUGACUUCUCUGCAUGGAGGGAGCUUCUUUGGCCGGAGUUGGAUAAGUUACUUUA